rnacentral:rRNA from 1 species
UCAACGACUCUCGGCAACGGAUAUCUCGGCUCUCGCAUCGAUGAACAACGUAGCGAAAUGCGAUACUUGGUGUGAAUUGCAGGAUCCCGUGAAUCAUCGAGUUUUUGAACGCAAGUUGCGCCCGAAGCCAUUAGGCCGAGGGCACGCCUGACCUGGGCGUC